UUAGAAGCAUUUGGGAUUCAUGAUUAAUUUCGUUUAUCAUUUGAACACGCAGUAAUUUAGUUGUAGAACCAGUGGUGGCGAGGCAGUAGGCAGUGAUUGUUGUGUUAGACGAGGUGGUGAGUGUGCUGUGAAGGAGAUGGCGGGGGUGGAGGAGGCGGUGUUGGUGACGGGGUAGUAAGCCGUGGUUGCAGAGUCACAUUCUGAUAUUGUGCUGGGGCCCGCGGUAAUGAACCAGUGGGCAGUGAUUGUGGUUGUAGACCAGAUGGAGAAGUGGUGUUCGUAACGGGAAGAGGGCAAAAAAAGUCAUGCCGAGGAGCCAAAUACUGUUAAAAAGGGUCUCAUUGCUGCCAAUUUCUGGAUAAAGGCCGUUGUCGUUGUUGUUAUAGCAGUAUGAUGUACACUGAGCGAUAGCCCUUACCAAUGAAGGACAUCAUCGGGUCAAUCUGGUACGUACAACCGGCUGCCUUUGGAUCGGGAAACAGGGCUAUGUGGCAGCUGCAUACAAAUAUGGCCAGAUCUAGCCCAUGCUCAGAAGUUGAGGGGUUCAAACACUUAAAUAUAUCGCUUUAUCCAAACUCGGCAUGGUUGUUCAU